GAUCCAUUCCUGUGUGUCCUCUAAUAACGGCUGUGGUCAUUAGUGCUCCGCUGAGACUCUUCCUCCUCCUCUUCCUCGCGAUCUACAGGAAAGAACAUCAAACUGGUUCAAAACAACAUGAAGGUCAUACACUUUAGGAAUGACAUGAGGGUCAGUAAAUGAGGACUGACCCAUCGUUUUGGGGCGUUUUUGCCCUGUUGGAGCGGCAUAUUUGUGAGAGAUUUUCUCCAGUUAUAAUUCACCGAAAGUCAUCUAUUCAAAGUCAACAUGAAACCAUUUAAACAGUGUUUUCCAUUAAAUUGUCUUUAGCAAACA